rnacentral:rRNA from 1 species
UACGUAGGGUCCGAGCGUUGUCCGGAAUUACUGGGCGUAAAGAGCUUGUAGGUGGUUUGUCGCGUUGUUCGUGAAAACUCACAGCUCAACUGUGGGCGUGCGGGCGAUACGGGCAGACUGGAGUACUGCAGGGGAGACUGGAAUUCCUGGUGUAGCGGUGGAAUGCGCAGAUAUCAGGAGGAACACCGGUGGCGAAGGCGGGUCUCUGGGAAGUAACUGACGCUGAGAAGCGAAAGCGUGGGGAGCGAACAGG